CUUAUGUAUUUUUUUUACUGUGCCUGGCCUUCUUUGACCCAAGGAGGAGCUUAAGUCAGCUCCAUUUCAUGUGAUCAAAGAAAUUUUCCCACAAUACUCACCCUUUCCUCCAUGAGUCAAUCGUUGCUUCAUUCGCCAUUUAGACAGGGCACCGGUGAAUUCACCGAAUUUCGUCCUAACAGAAUGAGUUAUGAAAUUCCGAUCCGGUAAGUGCUGCAUCAUGCAGCCGCUUAGUAGAUAGCUCCUUAAUUCCAACAGUAUCAGGGAGUUAUCUACUCUGAUAGAUACUUUAAUUCCGCAAGCUUAUAGGUGUCAUAUUAGAUAUCCUGUAUUAAAAUUGGCUAACUUGGACUCAGGAAAGGCUUUAUGCUUAAAACAACACCUAAGACCAUAUAUGUCUAGUUCCAGGAGCAGAGAGCCCCCACCUGAGCUGUCUCUCCUAAAUCAGUCUGUUCUUUCUCUUUCCCGGAACUUAUCUGUUAUACGUAGAUGACGUUCAUCCCUAUGCCUUAUCGGUACUCCUUUCAUUCCCUUCCUACUACAGUCCAAUAAGUAUUUGCACGUAAGCACUUUUUAAUGUAUAAAAACCCAACUGACGAAUAAACGACAGAGGCUUAUUUUGAUAACUAACAGGUGUCUGGUGUCUAAUUCUCGCUUCUCCAAGUGCACUUGAAAUAAUAAUUUGGACUUCCUCUGAAUAUAACAAAGAUCAUUAUUUGGAUCUAUA